rnacentral:lncRNA from 1 species
AGAAGGGGAUGACAGAGGAUGAGAUGGUUGGAUGGUAUCACUGACAUGAUGGAUAUGAGUUUGAGUAAGCGCCUGUAGUUGGUGAUGGAUAGGGAGGCCUGGCGUGGUGCAGUCCAUGGGGUUGCAAAGAGUUGGACCCCAGUGAGUGAGUGAACUGACAUCCUGUAGUUUCCUGCCUCUCUGCUUCCUAAGUUUAGGAGAGGGUGGUGAAAAGACGUGUAGUGUAGUGGUUAACAGUGAGGUCCCAGAAUAAAAGGCCUAGUUUUACAUCCUAACCCUGCCACUUUACAGCUGUGUGAUGUUUGGAAAAUCAUGUAACCUUUAAAGAUUUAACUUUCUUUGUCUAUAAGAGAAUGAAAUCAUUUGACAUAUAUGGAGUGCUUAGAACAAUAUUUGACAUGAGCUGAGCACUGAAUGAUACCAUGUUACUUUUCUUUUUCCUUCAUUUUUAGGCUUAUCAACAACAGAAAUUUAUUUCUCAUAGUUCUGGAGGCUCAGAAGUCCAAGAUCAGGAUACUGACUGAUUUGGUAUCUUGUGCAAAUAAUUUUUGGUAAACUAAAUUCUUUCCAGAAGUACUUAUAAGAGAUCUGGGUAUUUGAAAGAAGUACAGGAAGUGCCUUGAACAGUGAAGAAGACCCUCAAUUUCAAGACACUAAUACAUCCCACUCUUUCAAGAGGCCACUCUUUUGCCAUGUAUCCACACUGUACCAAUUCAACUCAAAUUCAGCUCACAGCCCGUGCAAAUAUUUUGGAUGGCACCCUUGCCUGAAUCACAAUGCCCAUGGGGGCUGGAAUGUUUCUGUAAUUUCCUUUCAGGUUCAAAAGUCUGUGAAGGACUAUUUUAAUGAAAGAUUAAUCUCUUUCAGGAGGCGUGAUUCUAUUUAGAUAUCUUGAGAACAUAGUGAAAAAGACAUCGGACGAUUUUUCUUUAUUCAAAGGAGAGACAGAGAACAGAUAGGGAAGGUAAGGGUGGAGGGAGCCAGAGAGAAUAAGCCUUCAAGCAAGCUGGUGGGCUGGUGAGCCAUGGAAUAGAAAGAAAUGAUCAAAUGGAAACUUCCAUCAUAUCUAAAUGUUUAAAAGAAACAAGAUAUUCAGAGUACCUGAAAAUGUUGGAAAUGUCUACAAAAGCCCCCAGUUUUCGAAAGAAGGUAAAUAAUUAAGGGAUUGAUGAGCUGUCGGCCUUAUUUUUCCAACAACUUAUC